AGGUCUGAAGUUACAGACAAAGGUGAUGUAGACCGACACACAUUGUACAACAAGUAAUAAUCACAAUGUCCAGGUCUGAAUUGUGAACCACUUUCUGACAAGACUGACUCAGCAGAUAAAGGUUUGACUUCAGAUUUAUCUUGGUGUUUCAAAUUGUCUUCGUCUACCUCAUCAAGAGAAUUAGCUGGCUCCUGCUUAACUGGCGUCAUUACAGUGACUGGUAAUAACGACAAACAUUUCUCAUCACUCAAGUCAAGCUGUAUAAAUGCUGUUUUAGCUGCAACUGGUAAUGUGGUUUUAGCCUCAACACAGACUUCUGUUGCCAUCGUUGUGGUAGAUAAUAGGCCUGUUUUGGUUUCUCUGUGCUCAGCUUCAGAGUGGACUAAGGCAGGUGAGAUGAAUUUGUUGAUAUAUGUUUCAGAGUGAAUAGAGUGAGGGAGAGAAUCAGAAACUGGGGAAGCUGAUUCAUGCAAAACUUGAACAAGUUCUCCUUCCAAUUGAUCCUGAAACUCACUGUCUGAAUAUAUCGAUUCAGGAGAAUCUGCUCUGUCCUCAACAAUCAAUUCCUCAAGGCUAAAUCCAGAUAAUUCAAUGUCUGAGGUGACUGAUUGUGGUGACGAAGAUCUAUCUUCUGUGAAUAGCAAAUAAUAAUCACAACAAUGUGAUCUGAAAUCAGGAAUAGGAGAGUCAGGAGAGAGAGGCCUGUACUCAUUUAACGACGUUAUAGAUUCAGGUGAAGAUGGUCUAGACUCUGCAAACAAGAGCUCAAGGAAGGUAUAACCAUCUUCUGAAGUUACUGAUUCUGGAGACAGGGGUCUGAAUUUUAUCAUACCUCCUUCAGCUGCUUCUACAAAUUCAUUCUCUGACACAAAAGAUUCUGGAGAAUAUGGUCUCUCUUCAUUGAAAAAUUCCUCAAGAUAGAAGCCAGAUCCUUCAAUGUCUGAAGUUACUGAAAUAGGUGACGAAGAUCUGCUAAAGAAUGAAGACACUGAUGACUCAAUGAUUGUGGGUCUAAAUUGUGGGAUUGGGGAAUCAGGAGAUAGAGCUCGAUAUUCAUCAUUUGAAGCGAUAGAAUCAGGUGAAGAUGGUCUAGACUCAGCAACCAAGAGCUCAAGGAAGGUAUAAUCACCUUCUGAAGUUACUGAAUCUGGUGACCAGGGUCUGAGUUUCAUUAGACCUCUUUCAACUGACUCAACAAAUUCACUCUCUGAUAUAAAUGAUUCAGGUGAAUCUGCUCUGUCUUCAGCAAACAGUUCCUCAAGACAGAACUCAGAGAAUUCAAUAUCUGAAGCUACUGAUUCUGGUGAUGAACAUCUACUUCCAGUGAAAGACAAAUAACAAUCGCAACAUUGAGGCAUGAAGUGAGGAACUGGAGAGUCAGGAGAGAGGGGCCUGUACUCAUCAAAUGAUGCAACAGACUCUGGAGAGGAUGAUCUAGACUCGGAAAACAAGAGCUCAAGGAAGGAAUGCCCAUCUUCUGAAGUUACUGAUUCUGGUGAUGAACAUCUACUUCCAGUGAAAGACAAAUAACAAUCGCAACAUUGAGGCAUGAAGUGAGGAACUGGAGAGUCAGGAGACAGGAGCCUGUACUCAUCAAAUGAUGCAACAGACUCUGGAGAGGAUGGUCUAGACUCUGUAAACAAGAGCUCAAGGAAGGUAAAGUCCCCUUCUGAAGUUAUUGAUUCAGGUGAGAGUGGUCUAUACUCAGAUAGGCUACUUUGAUCUGUCACUGUAAAUGCACUAUCUGAAGGGGAAUCUGGUCUGUUCAAACCACGAUAUUCAAGGUCUGAAGGUACAGACAAAGGUGAUGUAGACCGACACACAUCGUACAACAAAUAAUAAUCACAAUGUCCAGGUCUGAAUUGUGUAUUAGGUGAGUCAGGAGAAAGAGGUCGAUGAUCUUGAAAUGUUGUUACAGAUUCAGGUAUCGGAGAAAUACUCCCAUUGUACAACAAGUAAUAAUCACAAUUUAUAGGUCUGAAUUGUGAACCACUUUCUGAAAAGACUGACUGAGGAGAUAUAGGUUUGACUUCAGAUUUAUCUUGGUGUUUCAUGCUGUUUUCAUCUCCCUCAUCAAGAGAAUUAGCUGGCUCUUGCUUUACUGGCAUCAUUACAGUGACUGGUAACAACGACAAACAUUUCUCAUCACUCAAGUCAAGCUGUAUAAAUGCUGUUUUAGCUGCCACUGGUAACGUGGUUUUAGCCUCAACAAAGUCUUCUGUUGCCAUCGUUGUGGUAGAUAAUAGGUCUGUUUUGGUUUCUCUGUGCUCAGCUUCAGAGUGGACUAAGGCAGGUGAGAUGAAUUUGUUGAUAUAUGUUUCAGAGUGAAUAGAGUGAGGGAGAGAAUCAGAAACUGGGGAAGCUGAUUCAUGCAAAACUUGAACAAGUUCUCCUUCCAAUUGAUCCUGAAACUCACUGUCUGAAUAUAUUGAUUCAGGAGAAUCUGCUCUGUCCUCAGCAAUCAAUUCCUCAAGGCUAAAUCCAGAGAAUUCAAUGUCUGAGGUGACUGA